rnacentral:misc_RNA from 1 species
GAUGAAGAACGCAGCGAAAUGCGAUACGUAAUGUGAAUUGCAGAAUUCAGUGAAUCAUCGAAUCUUUGAACGCACAUUGCGCCUGCCAGCACUCUGGCAGGCAUGCCUGUUCGAGCGUCAUUUCAACCAUCAAGCCCUAGGCUUGCGUUGGAGCCCUGCGGCUGCCGCAGGCCCCUAAAAGCAGUGGCGGGCUCGCUAUCACACCGAGUGCAGUAGAUUACUCUUCGCUCAGGGCGUGUGGCGGGUUCCAGCCGUGAAACCCCCUACUUCUCAAGGUUGACCUCGGAUCAGGUAGGAAAACCCGCUGAACUUAAGCAUAUCAAUAAGCGGAGGA